rnacentral:rRNA from 1 species
AUACGGAGGAUGCGAGCGUUAUCCGGAUUUAUUGGGUUUAAAGGGUGCGUAGGCGGUUUUUUAAGUCAGCGGUGAAACGCAAGGGCUCAACCCUUGACCUGCCGUUGAAACUGGAGGACUUGAAUGCGGAUGCUGUGGGAGGAAUGUGUGGUGUAGCGGUGAAAUGCAUAGAUAUCACACAGAACACCGAUUGCGAAGGCAUCUCACAAAUCCGUGAUUGACGCUGAGGCACGAAAGUGUGGGGAUCAAACAGGAUUAGAUACCCUGGUAGUCCACACUGUAAACGAUGAUGACUCGCUGUCGGCGAUAUACAGUCGGUGGCCAAGCGAAAGCGAUAAGUCAUCCACCUGGGGAGUACGACCGCAAGGUUGAAACUUAAAGGAAUUGACGGGG